GUCACUGGGUUUUCAUAAUGGUUUGUUGUACCUGAGCGAAGGAGACAAUGAUAUAACCAUGCACUGUACAAGAGUUAUUAAAAUAGUUAAGUUAUACUUAUAAAUCCAUCUCCGUCUCUUUCACUGGGUUUUCAUAAUGGUUUGUCUCUGAGAGUCUCAGAAACUCAGAAAAAUGUCUGAAACCACACAUUUCCUUUUGGGUUUGGGGACUGACAUUCAGCAGGAAGGGUGGCAUGGCGUGAGUAGCUGUGUUUUAAAAACAGGGACAAAGCAUGAGAAGAUUGUACGAAAUCACAUUUGUGCCUGUCUGGAAGGGGGACGACUGUGGCAGCCGUCCUAAGUGGAACAAUAUAAAAAGAGGGAGCAGUAUAAACCUGACUCAGGGCCUGUUACAGGGAUCCUCCAACAAUUCCAGCCAAGAGCCAUCCUCAGUUUCAGGAGGCAAAAAUUUGUUUUCUCUUUUCCUUAAUAAUUAAGUUGAAAUAACUGGUAAUGCCUUUUGUAGAUGUUUAGAGGUGUUCAAUUUCCAAGUGGGCCCAUCACCUCCUCUACAGCCCAAAUAAAGUUUAGGCGAACCAAGAGCCCGAAGCACCUGCCCUGCUGGGUCGGGGGCUCUCUCAGUGGCUGGAGCUGUACAAGCCAUUCCGAACCUUCCCACGGCAGGGGAGGGAGCAGAGAGCGCCGAGCUCCUGCAGCGGGGCAGCAGCGGCGCGGCUCCGCGCCUCCCUCACGGCCGCCUCCCCUCAGGGCCCGUCCGCCGCCAUCUUGCGGCUCCGGCGGCGCCCGGGCCCGUGAGGGACGGGUGUCUCGGGGCCGGCCGAGGGGAAGAUCCCCGGGUGGUUCUGGGGACCGAGAUCCCGGGGCCGGGAGAUCCCGGGGCCGGGAGAUCCCGGGACACGCUCUGCUGGGGACAACGGCGGCGUCAGGGUCGCCAAGGCGACCACCCGCCCCGACCCCCAGGGCCACGCGGCAGCCAGUCAGAGUCGUUCUGUGCCGCUGCCCCUCCCGGCCGCCUCCGACACUAAAUUUGUAUAAAUGUUGA
rnacentral:lncRNA from 1 species